UGAUAGACUAGAUCAGGUUUAUAUUCCAGUGAUAUGUAACCAGAGGUAGAGAGGUUCUUACCCAGGUGAUAGACUAGAUAAGGUUUAUAUUCCAGUGAUAUGUAACCAGAGGUAGAGAGGUUCUUACCCAGGUGAUAGACUAGAUAAGGUUUAUAUUCCAGUGAUAUGUAACCAGAGGUAGAGAGGUUCUUACUCAGGUCUUUGACAACGUCAGGUUCCAGAUCCAGUAGAAUCUUGUAAAAUGUAGAUUUCACUCUUGUUGUGUCUUCUGCUUCUUCUAGGGCCUUGAACAACAGUCUCAUCUGGUCCUGGCUGGUCCCGGCAGCACUGAUCUGAGAGUUCAUCUCAUCAGGGAUCAAGUCCUUCUGGUGCAGCUCAGAUGCUAUGGAUUCCCCCCCGGAAACCUUCUGAAUGAGGUGAUCCUUGUGUCUGGUCACAAACCGGGCAUCACCUAGUCAGGUUAGAUGUAGAGUUAUAUACUGUAGAACAAGAGGACAUUACUAGUCAGGUUAGAUGUAGAGUUAUAUACUGUAGAACAAGAGGACAUUACUAGUCAGGUUAGAUGUAGAGUUAUAUACUGUAGAACAAGAGGACAUUACUAGUCAGGUUAGAUGUAGAGUUAUAUACUGUA
rnacentral:lncRNA from 1 species